rnacentral:rRNA from 1 species
GACGAACGCUGGCGGCGUGCCUAAUACAUGCAAGUUGAGCGCUGAAGGUUGGUACUUGUACCAACUGGAUGAGCAGCGAGCGGGUGAGUAACGCGUGGGGAAUCUGCCUUUGAGCGGGGGACAACAUUUGGAAACGAAUGCUAAUACCGCAUAAAAACUUUAAACACAAGUUUUAAGUUUGAAAGAUGCAAUUGCAUCACUCAAAGAUGAUCCCGCGUUGUAUUAGCUAGUUGGUGAGGUAAAGGCUCACCAAGGCGAUGAUACAUAGCCGACCUGAGAGGGUGAUCGGCCACAUUGGGACUGAGACACGGCCCAAACUCCUACGGGAGGCAGCAGUAGGGAAUCUUCGGCAAUGGACGAAAGUCUGACCGAGCAACGCCGCGGGAGUGAAGAAGGUUUUCGGAUCGUAAAACUCUGUUGGUAGAGAAGAACGUUGGUGAGAGUGGAAAGCUCAUCAAGUGACGGUAACUACCCAGAAAGGGACGGCUAACUACGUG